AAUAGUAGGGGUGUGCAUCCGGACCGGAUUUUUUCCGAAUCCGGUCCGGAAAUCCGGAUCCGGGUGAAUCCGGGCGGUUAUCCGCCCGGAUUACUCCCGGGCGGAUUUAUAAAACACGGAUCCGGUUACGGAUCCGGUUGUAAAACCCGGUAAUCCGUAACCGGGUUACGGAUCCGCAUGGUUUUAUUUUUGCUGAAAACGAUACCGUUGCGGUCUCUUUCAUUUCUUUUCCUCUCAACUCUCUCGAAGGCUCGAACGGAUUGCUAAGCCUCACUCAACUUCAGUCUUCUCUCAACCCUAGCCGUGCCGUCUCUCUAGCCGUGCCGUCUCUCAUCGCUGUCUCUCAACUCUCUCGAAGCAUACAAUGCCCGAGGCAAGGAUCCAGCGUCCAGCUGGUUCUCUGUAUUCAAGUUUUACUUUUGGCACUGGCUUGUGGCAGCAAGUGUUCUUAUUGUUUACUUGGCUGUAAUUUAUGGGACAUACGUUCCUGAUUGGAAAUUCACUGUCCUGAACAGCAAUAGUACUAUUGAGAUGACAUAUUGAUCAACAUGGGAGUUGAUUUAUUCAGCAACAGCUGGAACAUUGCUUGAUCAUUCAAAGGGUCAAGGCUAAGAAACCUUCUUAGAAGAUUGGUUCCUCGUUUGCUACCAAGAAGGCCACAAAAAGUUCACCUAAAGUCCAGAUUGAUGCUGAUUUGGACCUGAUUUGGUUCCUCAUUGUAAUUUUUUUUUUUUUUUGAAAUAG